rnacentral:rRNA from 1 species
CGCCUCCUACGGGACGCAGCAGUAGGGAAUCUUCGGCAAUGGGCGAAAGCCUGACCGAGCAACGCCGCGUGAAUGAAGAAGGCCUUCGGGUUGUAAAAUUCUGUUAUAAGGGAAGAAAGGUGAUAGGAGGAAAUGACUAUCAAUUGACGGUACCUUAUGAGAAAGCCACGGCUAACUACGUGCCAGCAGCCGCGGUAAUACGUAGGUGGCAAGCGUUAUCCGGAAUUAUUGGGCGUAAAGAGCGCGCAGGUGGUUAAUUAAGUCUGAUGAGAACGCCCACGGCUUAACCGGGGAGGGUCAUUGGA